rnacentral:ncRNA from 1 species
UCUUAUCCAGAGAGGUGGAGGGACUGGCCCUUCGAAGCCUCGGCAACAGACUUGUACAAAGUACUGUGCCAAUUCCAGAAGCAGAUUGAUCGCUUGAAGAUAAGA